rnacentral:rRNA from 1 species
GUAACCUGCCUGGUAGCGGGGGAUAACUAUUGGAAACGAUAGCUAAUACCGCAUAACAGUAGAUAUCGCAUGAUAGCUGCUUGAAAGGUGCAAAUGCACCACUACCAGAUGGACCUGCGUUGUAUUAGCUAGUUGGUGAGGUAACGGCUCACCAAGGCAACGAUACAUAGCCGACCUGAGGGGGUGAUCGGCCACACUGGGACUGAGACACGGCCCAGACUCCUACGGGAGGCAGCAGUAGGGAAUCUUCGGCAAUGGACGGAAGUCUGACCGAGCAACGCCGCGUGAGUGAAGAAGGUUUUCGGAUCGUAAAGCUCUGUUGUAAGAGAAGAACGAGUGUGAGAGUGGAAAGUUCACACUGUGACGGUAUCUUACCAGAAAGGGACGGCUAACUACGUGCCAGCAGCCGCGGUAAUACGUAGGUCCCGAGCGUUGUCCGGAUUUAUUGGGCGUAAACCGAGCGCAGGCGGUUAGAUAAGUCUGAAGUUAAAGGCUGUGGCUUAACCAUAGUACGCUUUGGAAACUGUUUAACUUGAUUGCAAGAGGGGAGAGUGGAAUUCCAUGUGUAGCGGUGAAAUGCGUAGAUAUAUG